rnacentral:rRNA from 1 species
ACCUUAACUAUUGCUUUGAAGUGACAACCCUAAUUGAACGUGUAAGAUAUGUAGAACCUAUGCAACCAAUCCCUAAAGACCACUCUUUUGUAUAAGAAUUCCUAACCACCACACAAUGGGUGAGGCUGGACAUUCAUAGGUGGGUAGUUUAUUUGGGAACAAAUGCCUCCUAAAGAGUAAUUCGGGUGUGCAAAAUUAAGAUCGAAAUAAUAUUCUACUCGUGAACUUAAUUGUAUAAAUUUUCAAGAUAGUGAGAACAGCUAAUCAAACAAAGAUGAAGUCGAUCAUAGUGAUUUCAGAGUCUUGUGUACGAUAGCUUUUACUCGACGGAUCAUUGAUAC